GAUGAACGCUGGCGGCGCGCUUAACACACGCAAGUCGAACGGAAAGGCUCCUGCUUGCAGGGGUACUCGAGUGGCGAACGGGUGAGUAACACGUGGGUGAUCUGCCCUGCACUUCGGGAUAAGCCUGGGAAACUGGGUCUAAUACCGGAUAGGACGAUGGUUUGGAUGCCAUUGUGGAAAGUUUUUUCGGUGUGGGAUGAGCUCGCGGCCUAUCAGCUUGUUGGUGGGGUAAUGGCCUACCAAGGCGUCGACGGGUAGCCGGCCUGAGAGGGUGUACGGCCACAUUGGGACUGAGAUACGGCCCAGACUCCUACGGGAGGCAGCAGUGGGGAAUAUUGCACAAUGGGCGCAAGCCUGAUGCAGCGACGCCGCGUGGGGGAUGACGGCCUUCGGGUUGUAAACUCCUUUCGCUAGGGACGAAGCGCAAGUGACGGUACCUGGAGAAGAAGCACCGGCUAACUACGUG
rnacentral:rRNA from 1 species